rnacentral:rRNA from 1 species
AUGAUAGCGUUGGGCGACAUCUACAAGGUGGUGGAGGCGAUGGCGCCGCUUUACUUCGCGCUAGGGCUCGGGUACGGGUCCGUUCGAUGGUGGCGGUUCUUCACGGCGGAGCAGUGCGGCGCCAUCAACACGCUGGUGGUCUGCUUCUCCAUGCCCUUCUUCACCUUCGACUUCGUGGUCCGCGCCGACCCCUACGCCAUGAAUUACCGCGUCAUCGCCGCCGACGCCGUCGCCAAACUUCUCGCCGUGCUCGCCGCGGCCGUCUGGGCGCGCUGCGCCAAGGCCAAGGCCGGCGCCUACUCGUGGUCCAUCACGGGGUUCUCCCUGGGCGCGUACAACAACACGCUCGUCGUCGGCGUGCCGCUGCUGGACGCCAUGUACGGCAAGUGGGCGCAGGACCUGAUCGUGCAGAUCGCCGUCGUGCAGGCCAUCCUGUGGUUCCCGCUCCUUCUGCUCGCCUUCGAGCUGCGGAAAGCCUGGGUCGUCGGCGGCGCCUCUUCUUUGAGUACCGCAACGGCCCACGACGACGGAUCCACCAGCAGCGACGACGACCAAGCGCGGCGCAUCGAGCCGGUGUCGCACAGCGACGUCGAGGUGGACCUGGACGUGGAAGCGGCGCCACCCACCGGUGGAAGGAGGAUCCGGCUGUGGCCGAUGGCGAGCACCGUGGGGAUGAAGCUGGCGAGGAACCCCAAUGUGUACGCCAGCGUCCUCGGCGUCGCCUGGGCGUGCAUCGCCUACAGGUGGCGCAUCGGCAUGCCGGGCAUCGUGACGGGCUCGCUGCAGGUCAUGUCCAGGACCGGCACCGGGAUGUCCAUGUUCAGCAUGGGGUUGUUCAUGGCGCAGCAAGAGAGAAUCGUGGCGUGCGGCGGGGGCCUGGCGGCGCUGGGGAUGGUGCUGCGCUUCGUUGCGGGCCCACUCGCGGCGCUCGCCGGAGCCGCGGCGUUCGGCCUCCGCGGCGACGUGCUACGCUUCGCCAUCAUA